GACGAACGCUGGCGGCGUGCUUAACACAUGCAAGUCGAACGGAAAGGCCCUGCUUUUGUGGGGUGCUCGAGUGGCGAACGGGUGAGUAACACGUGAGUAACCUGCCCUUGACUUUGGGAUAACUUCAGGAAACUGGGGCUAAUACCGGAUAGGAGCUCCUGCUGCAUGGUGGGGGUUGGAAAGUUUCGGCGGUUGGGGAUGGACUCGCGGCUUAUCAGCUUGUUGGUGGGGUAGUGGCUUACCAAGGCUUUGACGGGUAGCCGGCCUGAGAGGGUGACCGGCCACAUUGGGACUGAGAUACGGCCCAGACUCCUACGGGAGGCAGCGGUGGGGAAUAUUGCACAAUGGGCGGAAGCCUGGUGCAGCAACGCCGCGUGCGGGAUGACGGCCUUCGGGUUGUAAACCGCUUUCGCCUGUGACGAAGCGUGAGUGACGGUAAUGGGUAAAGAAGCACCGGCUAACUACGUG
rnacentral:rRNA from 1 species